UACGUAGGUGGCAAGCGUUGCUCGGAAUCACUGGGCGUAAAGGGCGUGUAGGCGGCUUGCUAAGCCGCGUGUGAAAGCCCGGGGCUCAACCCCGGAACGGCACGCGGGACUGGCAGGCUUUGAGUGUGGGCAGGAGGGGGGUAGAAUUCCGACGUGUAGCAGUGAAAUGCGUAGAGAUGUGGAGGAAUACCGAUGGCGAAGGCAGCCCCCUGGGCCAACACUGACGCUCAUGCACGGAAAGCGUGGGGGAGCAAACAGG
rnacentral:rRNA from 1 species